AAGGAAAACGAAAAACGUAAUAAGAGUGAAGGGUAAAGAAAUAGGAGAAACGAAGAUCAAGUCUGUAACCCUAACCCUCAUUUGAGAAUUUUUGCAACUCUCUUUCUCUCUCUAGAUUCUUCGAUUCCAGCUUUCCAUCAAAAAGUUAACAAUUAUUACACACAAUUUUCGAUUUUCAUCAUCAGAUUAUCUUGCCCUAAUUUGCGGAACAGAUAAGAAGAGUGAGAGAAAAUAAUUGCGCGCAAAUUACACUUCUCCGAAGCGAUCGGAAACUUGUCUUCCACAGUAGUUUGAGAUUGUAGAAAGCUGAGCAAGAAGGCUUUUGAGCAUCCAAAAAUGGAACCUUCCGUCUUAGAGAUCUUAUCCCUCAUGGACGUAGCUGAUAUUUAUUUGACUUACAAAGACAUGAAGAGUGAUGUGUAGCAUUUUUGAAUGAUUAUUUGGUAAAGAUGGACGCAAAAGUUGUUCAACUCGUAGAAACAGAAGUUCUUAUUAGAGGCAGUUCAGGGGCAGACUUGGAUUCUAGUCCCAGACAAGUUGAAGAUAGAGAAUAUGAAAACCAUGUUGCUUGUGAACAAACAGCUUUGCGAGUUAAGUUAGUUGCUAAAGGUGUAGAUCAAGAACUGGAAUAUGAACCUGGCUUUUCAGUGCCUGAGCACUUGGAGGAUAGAGCAGAAGAUGAUGCUCAUGAGGUUGAUGCUGACGUAGAGGAUGUCAAGGAUAUGCAAGAACAAGCUGCUAAUACUGAAGCUGUUGAGUCGCUUGAAGAACAAGAAGUAGAUCAGGACCUAGUUAAAAAGAUGGAUGCAAAAACAGUUCCUAUUGUGGGAACAGAAGUUCGCGAUGAUUCUAUAGGGGGAAGCUCAGGGGAAGACUUAAAUUCUGGUCAGAGACAAGGUGGACAUAGAGUAUAUGGAAACCAUGCUGCUUAUGAACAACGACCUUUUCACGUCAAGUCAUCUGUUCCAGGUGUGAAGGAACAGAGAUAUGAACCAGGCUCUUCAGUGUCUGAUCACAUGGAACAUAUUAGAACAGGUGAUUAUAAUAAGGUUGAUCCAAUGGUGGGGAAUGUUAAGGGAGUGCAAGAAGAAGUUGCUAUUACUGUAGCAGGUGAGAUGCCUAAAGAACAAGAAGUAGAUCAGGAGCUUGUUUCUGGAAAGAUGGAUCCGGAACUAAUUUCUGUCGCGGAGAAAGAAGUCCCUGAUGUUUCUAUUGAAGGCAGCCCAGAAUUGGAUUCUUGUCCCAGGCAAACCGAGGAUAGAAAAUAUGGAGAUCGUGCUAUAUAUGAACUAUCACUUUUGCCAGUGCAGUCAUUUGAUGAAGGUGCUGAUCAUAAGAAGAACCUGGAACAUAAAACAACAGGUGAUAAUGAUGAGGUUGACACAGGAUUGCUACGCGUUAAGGAAGUGCAAGAAGAAGCUGCCGACACUGAAGCAGUUGAGUUGCCUAAAGAACAAGAAGUAGACCAGGAGCUGGUUUCUGAGAAGUUGGAUGCAAAUUUAGUUCCUAUUGUCGAAAAAGUUCUUGAUGUUUCUCUUGGAGGCAGCCAAGGCUUAGAUUCUAGUCCCAGGCUAGCUGGAGAUGGAGAUUUUGGAGGGCUUGCUGCUAAUGCACGGCUACCUUUGCCAGUCAACUCAUUUGAUGAUGGUGGAGAUCGCGAACGGGAAUAUGAAUCAGGCUUUUCACUGCAGUCAUCUGAUGAAGGUGUAGAUCAUGGACGGGAAUAUGCACCAGGCUCUUCAGUGGUGAAGCACCUGGAUCAUAGAACAGUUGAUUCCCAUGUGGUUGACAAGGAGAUGGAGGGUGUAAAGGAAGCGCGAGAAGAAGCUGCUUAUACUGAGACACUUGAGUUGCCUAAAGAACAAGAAGUAGAUCAGGAGUUAGUUUCUGAAAAGAUGGAUGCAGAAGUAGCUCCUAUUGUGGAAAAGGAAGUUUUUGAUAUUCCUCUUGGAGGCAGCCAAGACUUAGAUCUUGGCCCCAGGCAAGCUGGAGAGAGAGAAUUUAGAGAUCGCAGUGUUUAUGAACAGCCACCUUUACCAGCCGAGUCAUUUGAUAAAGGUGGAGAUUGCAAACGGGAACAUGAACCUGGCUGUUCAGUGGCUGAGCACCUAGAACAUAUAAUGACAGGUGGUAAUCAUGAGGUUAACACAGAGAUAAAGGAAGUGAGGGAAGGGCAAGAAGAAGCCGCAAACAUGGAAGCAGUUGAGUUGCCUAAAGAACAAGAAAUUCCUGCUUCAUCUAUUGGAGGCAGCCCAGGCAUGGAUUCAGAUCCUAGGGAAGCUGGUGAUAGAGAAUAUGGAGAACAUGCUGCUUAUGAACAACCGCCUUUGCCAAUCAAGUCACUUGAUGAAGGUGUUGAUCAAGAACUGGAGUAUGAACCAAGCUCUCCAGCGCUGAGUUGUAUAGAGCAUAGAGCAACAGUUGAUAUUCUGGAGGUUGACACAGAGAUGGAAGAUGUGAAGGAAGUGCAAGAAGAGGCUGUUGAUACUGAAGCACCUGAGUCGCCUGAAGAACGAGUAGUAGAUCAGGAGCUGAGUUCUGAAAGGAGGGAUGCAGAAGUAAUGCCUGUUGCUGGAAAAAAAGUUCACGAUGUUUGUAAUGGAGGCAGCCCAGACAUGGAAUCUUGUCACCGGCAAGCUGAUGAUAGACAAUAUGCCAAUCAUGCUACUUAUGGACAACCAUCUUCCCCAGUCAAGUCAUUUGAUAAAGGUGCUAACCAUGCACAGGAAUAUAAAUCAGGCUCUUCAGUGAUUAGUUGCCUGGAACCUAGAGAAACAAUUGACUUUCAUGAGGUUGAUGCACCCAUGAAGGAUGUUAACGAAAAGCAAGAACAAGCUGCACAAACAGAAGCAGUUGAGUUGCCUAACGAACCCAAAAUACUUCAGGAGCUGGAUCAUAAACUAUUGGAUGAAAACAUAUUUCCAAUUCUGGAAACUGAAGCUCCUGAUGUUUCCAUUGGAUGCAGUGGUGUGGCAGACACGGGGUCUAGUCCCAGACAAGCUGGAGAUCAUGCAGCUUAUGAACAACUUUCUUCUCCAGUCAAGUCAUUUAAUGGAGGUGCCGAUCAUGGACAGGAAUAUGAACCAGGGUCUUCAGUGGCUGAAUGCUUGGAACUUGGUGCAUCAGGUGAUACUUGUAUGUUUGAUACUAACGUGGAGAAUGUUAUUGAAGUGCAAGAACAUGCUGCCAAUACUAAAGAUGUUGAGUUGUCUGCGGAGCAGAAAGGAGAUAGAGGGCUGGUUUGCAAAGAGAUGGAUGCUAAAUUGGCUCCUCUCGUGGAAACAGAAGCUCCUAAUAUUUCUACAGGAGACAGCCCCACAUCAGACUUGUUUUUUGGUCCUAAAGUAGUUGGAGAUAGGGAACAUGGAGACGGUAGUGCUUAUGAACAACCAUCUUUGCCAGUAAAGCCAUUUGUUAAGGGUGUCGAUGAUGCACUUGAAUGUGAAUCAGCCUCUGCAGGGGCUGAGCACCAGGAACAUGAAGCAACAGAUGCUGUCGGUGAGGCUGACACAGAUGAGGAGACUGUUCAGUUAGUGCAAGAGGAAGUUGCCAAUGCUGAAUCAGUUGGAUCGCGCAAAGAACAAAUAGUAGAUCAAGAGCUGGAUUAUAGAAAUAUGGAUGUGGAAAUGGAUCCUAUUAGGGAAACAUAUGUUCUUGAUGUUUCUUCUGGUGGUAGCCUAGGGGUAGACUUGGAUUCUGGUCCCAGACAAGCUAGAGAAUAUGGAGAUCAUGAUGUUUGUGAACAGCCUUUGCCAGCCAUGCCAUCUGUAGAAGGUGUAGGUCAAGGACUGGAAUAUGAAGCAGGCUCGUCUGUGGAUGAUCACUUGGAACAUAGAGCAACAGCUGUUCAUGAGGUUGACACAAGUAUAGAUGAUCAGGAAAUGCAAGAAGGGGUAAGUACAGAAUCAAAGGAGUCAGCUGAAGAACAAGAAGAUCAGGAGCUGGUUUCUUAUGCUGCAAAGGCUCGGAGCAAGGAAGAAAAACAUGGCAGACGUUCAUCUUUAAAACCUGGAAGCUUGAUGAAAGAUCACCGUGUUAGUUAUCAGCUACAAUCUGAAAAUGAAGGUGAGUUUGCAGUUUUUGAUUUGGUAUGGGGCAAGGUGAAGAGCCAUCCGUGGUGGCCUGGGCAAAUAUUUCACCCUUCUGACUCCUCAGAGAAGGCUAUGAAAUAUUAUAGAAAGGAUUGCUAUCUGGUGGCAUAUUUUGGAGACCGGACAUUUGCGUGGAAUGAAGCAUCAGUAUUAAAGCCAUUCAGGAAUCAUUUUCCUCAGGCAGAGAGGCAAAACAAGUCAGAAGCAUUCCAAAAUGCAGUGAGUUGCGCAUUGGAAGAAGUUGAGAGAAGGGUGGAAUUGGGUCUGGCUUGUUCUUGUUUAUCUGAAGAAGCCUACGACAAGAUCAAAUAUCAAAUAGUUGAGAACACUGGGAUAAGGGAAGAGUCAAGUAAGAGGGAAGGAGUUGAUAGAUCCACAGGUGUGGAUUCUUUCCAACCUGAAAAACUCACUGAGUAUUUAAGAGCACUAGCACUGUUCCCAACUAGUGGUGUUGACCGGCUUGAGAUUGUAAUAGCAAAAUCACAGCUAUUAGCUUUUAAUCGACUGAAGGGUUGUGAUGCAUUACCUGAGUUCCAUUAUUAUGAGGGAUUAGCGGAAUAUGAUGCUGACAUGCAGAUGCUAGAUGAGAAUGUGCAAGCAGAUUCAGUGACUCGAGGUGAUGCCAAGAAAGGCCCUCAUAAACGUAAACACAACUUGAAAGAUAUUGUAUACCAAAGGAGAAAGGAAAAAAGCAUAACAGAAUUAAUGGGUGAGUCGAUGUAUUGCCUUGAUGGUGAAUUCGACUCACAUGAGGAAGAUGAUAUAAUUUUGACUUCCCCAAUUGCUGGCACUAAGAGAAAAGCAUCAGGGUUUCUAACAGAUGAUUCCAAAUCCCAGCGGAGCACAAAAACUAUUUCCUUAGCUAAGGUUUCACAUGCAGCAUCUCCAAAUCCUCAGCAAUCAUUUAAAGUAGGUGAAUGUAUUCGUAGAGUUGCAAACCAGCUGACAGGAUCAUCCGCGAUCAUCAAAAGUUGCAGUGAGGGAAGCAAUAACAAGCGUAUAGGGGAUGAUGCUGAUGAAGUGUCAGAACCUCCUGAUGAUGAUUUGACUGAAAGCGUACCAAGUCCUUCAGUAGAAGCUUCUUUAGAUGAGAUGCUCUCACAGCUUCACUUAUCUGCUCGAGAUCCCAUGAAAAGAUACAGCUAUUUGGCUGACAUCAUUAGGUUUUUCUCUGAAUUCAGAGAUCUAGCUGUCACGACUCGGCGACAAAAAAUGCGCAAAGGGUCUGGCAGAAAGAAGAAGUCUUCUGUUCCUGUUGUUGGGUCCCCUGAGACUUUUGAAUUUGAUGAUAGAAAUGACUCCUAUUGGACGGACAUGGUUGUUCAAAACAACGCUGAAGCUAAGCCGGCUCGACGUGGUCGUAAGAGAAAGAAUGAGCAGGUUGUCUCUGGUGAUCCUGAGAAGACUCUGAAACCGAAUCGUAGGAAGUAUUCCAGGAAACAGUAUCAUGUUGAUAAACAUGAAUCUACAACUGAGACCCCAACUGGGGAUGAGAAGAAACUGGACCUGCCUACAGAGCUCAUGAUGAACUUUGGUGAGAUGGGUUCUAUACCUUCAGAGGUGAAUUUGAACAAAAUCUUCAGGCGGUUUGGGCCUUUAAAGGAAUCGGAGACAGGAGUAGAUAUGCAAAGCAGUCGUGCUAGAGUGGUGUUUAAGAAGCGUUCAGAUGCUGAAGUUGCUUAUAGUAGUGCUGCAAUGUUCAAUAUUUUUGGGUCAACUCCAGUCAACUACCAGCUUAACUACACGCCUGCUUCCUUCAGUACUCUACCCCUUGCAUUGACUGAUGGGAAAGAGGAUGCAACAUGAUGGGCUGUGAGAUCCAUUACACCAGGAAGACUGUCAGAAUGUUGAGAAACAAAAUGACUUCUUAAAAAGAGCACUAUGCUUUAGAUGUUCCAGAUUCAGGGGGAGCAUCUCAGCUGAGCUUGAAUGGAGUUUGACAGAUAAGAGACAAAAUGACUUUCUAGGAAGUACUGCUGUACUUUGUUGGUUUCAGAUUUAGAAGAGCAUCUUACUUGAGAUUAGACAAUUUUAAGAAUUGUGUCAAAUAUAUUGGUUGGGAGUAUGAAGCAAGCGCCUAAGAGCAACUCUGCAUGAAGGACAACUAAAUGAGUGAAGCACCUGGCCAUUGACAUGAAAAAUGGGUAGAAUUGAUUGAGCUAAUGGUAAUUUCUGUAUAGUGGUACUCUAUGUGACUUGGGAACACAUUCUAUCAUUCUAUUUAAAUUUGUCUAAUAUGUUACAUUACCCGUUUUUCUCGGGUUGAAGCAAAUGAGCAUGAAUUGUCCAUAAAUUAUGUGGAUAAAAAAGGUGAUCAUAAAGAUAACUUGCUUUGUAUUUUCUGUUGGAUGAUUA